GCUCGAGUGGCGAACGGGUGAGUAACACGUGAGUAACCUGCCCUUGACUUUGGGAUAACUUCAGGAAACUGGGGCUAAUACCGGAUAGGAGCUCCUGCUGCAUGGUGGGGGUUGGAAAGUUUCGGCGGUUGGGGAUGGACUCGCGGCUUAUCAGCUUGUUGGUGGGGUAGUGGCUUACCAAGGCUUUGACGGGUAGCCGGCCUGAGAGGGUGACCGGCCACAUUGGGACUGAGAUACAGCCCAG
rnacentral:rRNA from 1 species